CCUACGGGGGGCUGCAGUGGGGAAUAUUGGACAAUGGGGGGAACCCUGAUCCAGCCAUGCCGCGUGUGUGAAGAAGGCCCUCGGGUUGUAAAGCACUUUCAGUGAGGAAGAACGCCUGGUGGUUAAUACCCAUCAGGAAAGACAUCACUCACAGAAGAAGCACCGGCUAACUCCGUGCCAGCAGCCGCGGUAAUACGGAGGGUGCGAGCGUUAAUCGGAAUUACUGGGCGUAAAGCGCGCGUAGGUGGCUUGAUAAGCCGGUUGUGAAAGCCCCGGGCUCAACCUGGGAACGGCAUCCGGAACUGGCAAGCUAGAGUGCAGGAGAGGAAGGUAGAAUUCCCGGUGUAGCGGUGAAAUGCGUAGAGAUCGGGAGGAAUACCAGUGGCGAAGGCGGCCUUCUGGACUGAUACUGACACUGAGGUGCGAAAGCGUGGGUAGCAAACAGGAUUAGAUACCCUUGUAGUC
rnacentral:rRNA from 1 species